rnacentral:rRNA from 1 species
UACGUAGGGUGCAAGCGUUGUCCGGAAUUAUUGGGCGUAAAGAGCUCGUAGGCGGCUUGUCGCGUCGGCUGUGAAAACCUGGGGCUCAACCCCGGGCCUGCAGCCGAUACGGGCAAGCUAGAAUUCGGUAGGGGAGACUGGAAUUCCUGGUGUAGCGGUGAAAUGCGCAGAUAUCAGGAAGAACACCCGUGGCUAAGGCGGUUCUCUAGUACGGUACUGACGCUGAGACGCGAAAGCGUGGGGAGCGAACAGG